GGAAGUAAAAGUCGUAACAGGGUCUCCGUUGGUGAACCAGCGGAGGGAUCAUUACAGAGUUGCAAAACUCCCAAACCAUUGUGAACGUUACCUAUCCCGUUGCUUCGGCGGGCGGCCCGGGCCCCGCGCCCGGCGCCCCCCGGCCCCCCGUGGGCGCCCGCCGGAGGUAAACCAAACCCUUGAAUUGCAUGGCCUCUCUGAGUCUUCUGUACUGAAUAAGUCAAAACUUUCAGCAACGGAUCUCUUGGUUCUG
rnacentral:misc_RNA from 1 species